rnacentral:lncRNA from 1 species
GGGAGAAGGAGCACCCUUGGCUGCCUUGAACUGCAGCGGCGUUCCUGCUACGCUGCAGUUCGCCUGGGAGCACGGGACAGAGAGCUUGACGGGCCUCCCUGCUAGCGCUGCCGCGCUGCACUACCGACGACGAGGGGGGGGGGGKUCCCUCUGGUCACGCGCUACCGUCGAGGGAAGGAGGAAGCCCCUGUUACCACCCCUACCUCUAACAGCAACAACUAACACUCGUACUCUGCACGUACACGCAACAACAGCCCCCUGACGAACGCCGGCAGGGAAGACGACGACCUCGCCGCGGAUCGGGACCGGACUGAGGAGGAGGAAGCACUGGGCGGCGGGCCUCACCUUGGGG